AUUGAACGCUGGCGGCAGGCCUAACACAUGCAAGUCGAACGAGUGGCGGACGGGUGAGUAAUGUCUGGGAAACUGCCCGAUGGAGGGGGAUAACUACUGGAAACGGUAGCUAAUACCGCAUACCAUCGGAUGUGCCCAAAUGGGAUUAGCUAGUAGGUGGGGUAAGGGCGCACCUGGGCGACGAUCCCUAGCUGGUCUGAGAGGAUGACCAGCCACACUGGACACGAGACACGGUCCAGACUCCUACGGGAGGCAGCAGUGGGGAAUAUUGCACAAUGGGCGCAAGCCUGAUGCAGCCAUGCCGCGUGUAUGAAGAAGGCCUUCGGGUUGUAAAGUACUUUCAGCGGGGAGGCGUUACCCGCAGAAGAAGCACCGGCUAACUCCGUGCCAGCAGCCGCGGUAAUAC
rnacentral:rRNA from 1 species